CCCAAAUGGAUCAAGACUUGGACCAUCACUUUAACCAACAGACAUCAAAACUGCAGCCAUCAAAUCUCUUUCACAGAUUCACGUGUGAAGCUGGAAGGAAUUUCAUUUCAGGGACCCCAGGAGUUUGCCCAGAUCUCAGCCCAUUCCCUCACUGCAACUGGUGCUUGUUUUGGACAUACCCAGCCUGUGUGGAUCAUUCUUGUUCUGUUAAGUUUCAUGCUGGGCAAUAGAGGCAUAGAAGCAGGAUCCUUGCUAUUGAUGCUCUCUUGAAAGCAGGUACACUAUGUUUGACUUGACAUGCUCUAGAAAAAAUGAAGUUUUCAAACACUGCUUUUUGCUCAGAGCCUGUUCCAGCGUUCUCAUCACGACCAUGUCAUUUUGAACCUCAUGACUUCUCUGCUCAAUUGCCUCAAAACUGGAGAAAGCACUAAAAUAUGUUUAGGAUGAUGAGACAUAAUAGAAAAGACCAAAAGUUUAUUCUGAUUUAAAGUGUAACAAGUGUGAACAAUCCAACUCUGAGAGCAUUUAAUUCCUUAUUUCAUUUUUCUGAAAAUCUCGAAGAAAAUUUCAAAGUGUAUGAAUUCCUAUACACA